rnacentral:rRNA from 1 species
AUGAACGCUGGCGGCGUGCCUCAUACAUGCAAGUCGAGCGAACAGACGAGGAGCUUGCUCCUCUGACGUUAGCGGCGGACGGGUGAGUAACACGUGGAUAACCUACCUAUAAGACUGGGAUAACUUCGGGAAACCGGAGCUAAUACCGGAUAAUAUAUUGAACCGCAUGGUUCAAUAGUGAAAGACGGUUUUGCUGUCACUUAUAGAUGGAUCCGCGCCGCAUUAGCUAGUUGGUAAGGUAACGGCUUACCAAGGCAACGAUGCGUAGCCGACCUGAGAGGGUGAUCGGCCACACUGGAACUGAGACACGGUCCAGACUCCUACGGGAGGCAGCAGUAGGGAAUCUUCCGCAAUGGGCGAAAGCCUGACGGAGCAACGCCGCGUGAGUGAUGAAGGUCUUCGGAUCGUAAAACUCUGUUAUUAGGGAAGAACAAAUGUGUAAGUAACUAUGCACGUCUUGACGGUACCUAAUCAGAAAACCACGGCUAACUACGU